AGGUACUUGGCUUGAGUCACGGGAAGGUCACGUACUGCUGGAAAUCCCGAGUUCCUGGGCUGCUGUGGGGAUUCUGAAAGCAAGCUUUUCCCAGAAGACCAUUUUGAAGUAGACUCAAGAAGUCCUGGAGACACGACUGGGCAACACACUUCAUUUUUCCAACAAAAGCUUCACAAAGACACAGAGGAAGGGACAACCGUUCUGAAGAACAGUUUCUCUGAACAACCUGGCAGGGUAGGGGGUCCUCUCCCCUGGAGACUGCCCUGGCACCUGCUUCUCUAGCUCUGGGUCCCUGAUGACCUCAUCAGUCAGUUCUGAGUUCCUUUGCAAAGCAGCCCUUUGGGAAGGUGCUGAACACAGGUCACCUCCCAGUCAUCACAACCUUCCUGUACACUAACAUGAGCUCUGUGUCCCUAUGACAAACCCAUUUGGGUUCUUGGCUGGCAUCCCACAAGGCACAGUGUUUUUGUGACAUGGACUUAAGAACAGCCAAUGGGUCAGGAUGAAAAGUAAUCCAAGUGAACAACACGAUGGUCAGGAGAAAACGAGUGGCUCGGCACCCACGUGGGCAGACACCCCCUAGAACUGUGGUGAGCACCAUGGUACUCCUCUACCAGCCCUCCAGCACCCACAGUGCAGGGAGAGGUCCGUGUGGCUACUUCAAAGUGGGGCGGAAAUAAUUUCUGAAACCAUCUGUAAACUUUAUAGAGCAGUUGUAGGCUUACAAAAAAAUUAAGAAAGUGUAGAGACUUCCCAAGUACUCUGCCUCUCUCCAAAUUUCCCCCUAUCAUUAAUUAAUGUGCUGGAUUGGUGUGGUAUAUGUGCUCCACUUUAUUAUUAACUUUAUAAUUGUAGAUUAUUAUAGCUAACUUUAUACAAUUUAUAGAUUACAUGAGUGACUACUCUUUGUGUUGGGAUGAUCUAUGGAUUUUUCCAAAAGCCUAAUGACAUGUGUCCAAUUGGAUAGUUUCACUGCUUUAAGAAUCUACUGCGCUUCGCCUGUUCAUCCUGCCACCCCCUCUGCCUACCAAUCCCUGGCAACUGAUGUUUUUGCUCUCUGUAAUGUUGCCUGCUCCAGAAUGCCAUGAAGUUGGAGUUAUGUAGUAGGUAUCCUUUUCUGACUGGCUCCUUUCAUAAGGGCAAUAUGUCUUUUUUGUAACUUGCCAGCUCAUUGUUUUCUAAACCUGAAUAAUAGUCAAUCGCAUGGAUGGACCACAGUUUGUCUAUCCAUUUAUCUGUUAAAGACCAAAUUGUUUGCUUGCAAUUUUUGACAAUUAUGAAUAAAGCUGUUGUAAAUA